AUUGAACGCUGGCGGCAUGCCUUACACAUGCCAGUCGAACGGUAACGGGCCUUCGGGUGCCGACGAGUGGCGAACGGGUGAGUAAUACAUCGGAACGUGCCCGAUCGUGGGGGAUAACGAGGCGAAAGCUUUGCUAAUACCGCAUACGAUCUACGGAUGAAAGCAGGGGACCGCAAGGCCUUGCGCGGACGGAGCGGCCGAUGGCAGAUGAGGUAGUUGGUGGGAUAAAAGCUUACCAAGCCGACGAUCUGUAGCUGGUCUGAGAGGAUGAUCAGCCACACUGGGACUGAGACACGGCCCAGACUCCUACGGGAGGCAGCAGUGGGGAAUUUUGGACAAUGGGCGCAAGCCUGAUCCAGCCAUGCCGCGUGCAGGAUGAAGGCCUUCGGGUUGUAAACUGCUUUUGUACGGAACGAAAAGCCUUCUUUUAAUACAGGAGGGUCAUGACGGUACCGGAAGAAUAAGCACCGGCUAACUACGUG
rnacentral:rRNA from 1 species